CAGUCGCCGCGGUAAUACGAAGGGUGCAAGCGUUAAUCGGAAUUACUGGGCGUAAAGCGCACGUAGGCGGCUUGGUAAGUUAGAGGUGAAAGCCCGGAGCUCAACUCCGGAAUUGCCUUUAAGACUGCCGAGCUAGUAGGUGAGAGAGGUAAGUGGAAUUCCGAGUGUAGAGGUGAAAUUCGUAGAUAUUUGGAAGAACACCAGUGGCGAAGGCGGCUUACUGGCUCAUUCUAGACGCUGAGGUGCGAAAGCGUGGGGAGCAAACAGGAUUAGAUACCCCUGUAGUCCCUGUCUCUUAUAC
rnacentral:rRNA from 1 species